AUUGAACGCUGGCGGCAUGCUUUACACAUGCCAGUCGAACGGUAACAGGCCGCAAGGUGCUGACGAGUGGCGAACGGGUGAGUAAUGCAUCGGAACGUGCCCAGUCGUGGGGGAUAACUACUCGAAAGAGUAGCUAAUACCGCAUACGAUCUAUGGAUGAAAGCGGGGGACCGUAAGGCCUCGCGCGAUUGGAGCGGCCGAUGUCAGAUUAGGUAGUUGGUGGGGUAAAGGCUCACCAAGCCAACGAUCUGUAGCUGGUCUGAGAGGACAACCAGCCACACUGGGACUGAGACACGGCCCAGACUCCUACGGGAGGCAGCAGUGGGGAAUUUUGGACAAUGGGCGCAAGCCCGAUCCAGCAAUGCCGCGUGCAGGAAGAAGGCCUUCGGGUUGUAAACUGCUUUUGUACGGAACGAAACGGCUCUGGUUAAUACCCGGGGCUAAUGACGGUACCGUAAGAAUAAGCACCGGCUAACUACGUG
rnacentral:rRNA from 1 species